rnacentral:snoRNA from 1 species
AAGCCAUGAUGUGGGCAUUGAGACCAAUAGCCCUUGAACCUCUCCCAUGCUUUACUAAAUCCCUCUAGGUUCUUCUGCUGAAAGCUAGAGAUCUCAUUCCUGAUCUU